UCCGAUAAAUAUCACAAAGUUUUUCUAGCCUUCGAUCUGGCCAAGACGUAGUGCCGAUCACGUGGCGUGAAACUGCUGACCAUGUUACCGAAAUAUCUUGCUUCGAUGCUUCCUGUACGUCUCUCUCUAUGCAGAGAAGGUUAAUAAAAAAGAUGGUUGUGAUGAACAUAUUAUGUUCAAGCUGUCAAUGGAGAUGCUGCCCAAUGAGGAGGUAGUGAGAGGGGUGCUGAUUGCUGUGCUGCUGCUGUGCUGCUGCUGUGCUGCUGCUG